GAUCAUGGCUCAGGACGAACGCUGGCGGCGUGCCUAAUACAUGCAAGUAGAACGCUGAAGAGAGGAGCUUGCUCUUCUUGGAUGAGUUGCGAACGGGUGAGUAACGCGUAGGUAACCUGCCUUGUAGCGGGGGGAUAACUAUUGGAAACGAUAGCUAAUACCGCAUAACAAUGGAUGACACAUGUCAUUUAUUUGAAAGGGUCAAUUAGUCUCCACCUACCAAG
rnacentral:rRNA from 1 species